UACGUAGGGGCAAGCGUUGUCCGGAAUCAUUGGGCGUAAAGAGCGUGUAGGCGGCUCGAUAAGUCUGCUGUGAAAGUCCAGGCUCAACCCUGGAAGGCCGGUGGAAACUGUCGGGCUAGAAUCCGGAAGAGGCGAGUGGAAUUCCGGUGUAGCGGUGAAAUGCGCAGAUAUCGGGAGGAACACCAAUGGCGAAGGCAGCUCGCUGGACGGUAUUGACGCUGAGACGCGAAAGCGUGGG
rnacentral:rRNA from 1 species